CAGAGGAAAAGAAGGGAACCUGCCAGCAGUUCUGGCGAUCAACUUGUUCUGCUUCGUCAGUUCCUUUUUGCCAGCAUCAUCACUUACAUUGCAUUUGUCGUUGUGCAAGGACAACCACUUUGUAGAAGAUUUACUCUACUCAAAAUUGUCAGAACAGGCUGGUGGCACGAGGGUAUAUAUGCAUCGUCAUUGAUAAUAAGAAACAUUGGAGGAAUGCAACAUAGAUUUUAAUCAUGGAGCACUCGCGGAUGGCAUACUGCCGAAAUAAUUUAGGAGCAGCAAAGCAAAAAUAA